AAAGGUUCAGAAGAACAUUAAACCAUGUCACAUUGGUUCAGAUAGAGAAGAAUUUUGUCAGAGCAUACAUGCUGAAUUUAAGAAGAGAAUUGAAAGAGAGGUAGAAAUUGGAAAAGUCAAGUCUAUGAUGGCAGAAGUCUAUCAGGAAUUAAAGUUGAAAGUGCCUGUUGUCCUGAGUGUGUCAAAUCCCCUUGAAGAUGCUCAUCAUGCAAAUCUGAAAGAAUAUAUUGAGACAAAACAAGGCAAGAAA